rnacentral:rRNA from 1 species
ACGCUCGACACCUACGGAGGCAGCAGUGGGGAAUAUUGGGCAAUGGGCGCAAGCCUGACCCAGCAACGCCGCGUGAAGGAAGAAGGCCCUCGGGUUGUAAACUUCUUUUGUCAGGGACGAACAGAUGACGGUACCUGACGAAUAAGCUCCGGCUAACUACGUGCCAGCAGCCGUGGUAAUCUGAGCGGGCUGGCAAGGC